rnacentral:rRNA from 1 species
GAUGAACGCUGGCGGCGUGCCUAAUACAUGCAAGUCGAGCGAACAGACGAGGAGCUUGCUCCUUUGACGUUAGCGGCGGACGGGUGAGUAACACGUGGGUAACCUACCUAUAAGACUGGGAUAACUUCGGGAAACCGGAGCUAAUACCGGAUAAUAUUUCGAACCGCAUGGUUCGAUAGUGAAAGAUGGCUUUGCUAUCACUUAUAGAUGGACCGGCGCCGUAUUAGCUAGUUGGUAAGGUAACGGCUUACCAAGGCAACGAUACGUAGCCGACCUGAGAGGGUGAUCGGCCACACUGGAACUGAGACACGGUCCAGACUCCUACGGGAGGCAGCAGUAGGGAAUCUUCCGCAAUGGGCGAAAGCCUGACGGAGCAACGCCGCGUGAGUGAUGAAGGUCUUCGGAUCGUAAAACUCUGUUAUUAGGGAAGAACAAACGUGUAAGUAACUGUGCACGUCUUGACGGUACCUAAUCAGAAAGCCACGGCUAACUACGUG